UACGUAGGUGGCAAGCGUUGUCCGGAUUUACUGGGCGUAAAGAGCGCGCAGGCGGUCGUUCAAGUCGCGUGUGAGAGCCCCCGGCUCAACUGGGGAGGGUCACGCGAUACUGAUCGACUGGAAGGCAGGAGAGGGUAGUGGAAUUCCCGGUGUAGUGGUGAAAUGCGUAGAUAUCGGGAGGAACACCAGUGGCGAAGGCGACUACCUGGCCUGUUCUUGACGCUGAGGCGCGAAAGCUAGGGGAGCAAACGGG
rnacentral:rRNA from 1 species